rnacentral:rRNA from 1 species
AGCAGUCGCCACGGUAAUACGUAGGUGGCAAGCGUUGUCCGGAAUUAUUGGGCGUAAAGGGCUCGCAGGCGGUUUCUUAAGUCUGAUGUGAAAGCCCCCGGCUCAACCGGGGAGGGUCAUUGGAAACUGGGAAACUUGAGUGCAGAAGAGGAGAGUGGAAUUCCACGUGUAGCGGUGAAAUGCGUAGAGAUGUGGAGGAACACCAGUGGCGAAGGCGACUCUCUGGUCUGUAACUGACGCUGAGGAGCGAAAGCGUGGGGAGCGAACAGGAUUAGAUACCCGAGUAGUCCCUGUCUCUUAUAC